GACUUUUACCAUGUAAAUUUGAAUUGCAGAUGCAGUCCUGGAAGGAAGUGGCCUCAGAACUUGUUGCAGUCAUAAGAUACUGCACUUCAAGGCACUGGAAGUGUCGUGGACUUGCUUCUGUUGUUGUCGAUCAUGAAGAAAGUAGCUGAGGGAGAUGGUGGGGUGAUUGUCAAAUCUAGCUGUUCACACUUGGAUGAUUGCAUAUUGACUCCUCCAAAGCCAGGAUUCCAUUUCUGGUCCCAUUCAUCUCUCUCACUUUCCUGUCAUGCUUUUUCCUCGUAAGGCAAAAUCAAGCAUCACUUUGGAUG